rnacentral:rRNA from 1 species
UACGUAGGGUGCAAGCGUUGUCCGGAAUUAUUGGGCGUAAAGAGCUCGUAGGCGGUCAGUCGCGUCUGCUGUGAAAACUCGGGGCUUAACUCCGGGCCUGCAGUGGGUACGGGCUGACUAGAGUGCGGUAGGGGAGACUGGAAUUCCUGGUGUAGCGGUGAAAUGCGCAGAUAUCAGGAGGAACACCGGUGGCGAAGGCGGGUCUCUGGGCCGUAACUGACGCUGAGGAGCGAAAGCGUGGGUAGCGAACAGG